rnacentral:ncRNA from 1 species
CUCAAAGAUUAAGCCAUGCAAGUCUAAGUACGAGCUCUCGUACAGUGAAACUGCGAAUGGCUCAUUAAAUCAGUUAUGGUUCAUUUGAUCGUACAGUUUACUUGGAUAACUGUGGUAAUUCUAGAGCUAAUACAUGCGAGAAGCGCCGACCUCGCGGGAGGCGUGCAUUUAUCAGACCAAAAACCGGCCGCGUCUUUGGGCGCGUUCGCCUUGGUGACUCUGGAUAACUUUGCGGAUCGCACGGUCUAGCACCGGCGACGGAUCAUUCAAGUGUCUGCCCUAUCAACUUUCGUCGGUACGGUAUUUGCCUACCGAGGUUCUUACGGGUGACGGGGAAUCAGGGUUCGAUUCCGGAGAGGGAGCCUGAGAAACGGCUACCACAUCCAAGGAAAAAAACAGGCGCGCAAAUUACCCAUUCCCGACGCGGGGAGGUAGUGACGAAAAAUUACAAUGCAGGACUCGUUCGAGGCCCUGUAAUUGGAAUGAGUACACUUUAAAAGCUUUAACGAGUAUCCAUUGGAGGGCAAGUCUGGUGCCAGCAGCCGCGGUAAUUCCAGCUCCAAAAGUAUAUAUUUAAGUUGUUGCGGUUAAAAAGCUCGUAGUUGGAUUUUGGGCGCAGGCGGCCGGUCCGUCGCAAGGCGUGUACUGGACGUCCUGGCCUUCCCUCCGGUUCUCCGCCGGUGCUCUUGACUGAGUGUCGGCGGCGGCCGGAACGUUUACUUUGAAAAAAUUAGAGUGUUCAAAGCAGGCUCUCGAGCCUGGAUAAUGGUGCAUGGAAUAAUGGAAUAGGACCUCGGUUCUAUUUUGUUGGUUUUCGGAGCGCGAGGUAAUGAUUAAGAGGGACAGACGGGGGCAUUCGUACUGUGCCGUUAGAGGUGAAAUUCUUGGAUCGGCGCAAGACGAACGACUGCGAAAGCAUUUGCCAAGAAUGUUUUCUUUAAUCAAGAGCGAAAGUCAGAGGUUCGAAGACGAUCAGAUACCGUCCUAGUUCUGACUAUAAACGAUGCCAACUAGCGAUCGGGGGGCGUUACAUUGACGACCCCUCCGGCAGCUUA